rnacentral:rRNA from 1 species
AACGAACGCUGGCGGCGUGCCUAACACAUGCAAGUCGAACGAGAAAGGGAUUUCGGUCCUGAGUAAAGUGGCGCACGGGUGAGUAACACGUAGGUAACCUGCCUCCAAGAUUGGGAUAACCUGUCGAAAGACGGGCUAAUACCGAAGAAGACCACAGCUCCUUCGGGAAGCAGGGGUCAAAGGUAGCCUCUACUUGUAAGCUAUCACUUGGAGAUGGGCCGGCGCACCAUUAGCUAGUUGGUGGGGUAACGGACUACCAAGGCAAAGAUGGUUAGCUGGUCUGAGAGGAUGAUCAGCCACACUGGAACUGAGACACGGUCAAGACUCCUACGGGAGGCAGCAGUGGGGAAUAUUGCGAAAUGGGCGAAAGCCUGACGCAGCAACGCCGCGUGAGUGAUGAAGGCCUUCGGGUCGUAAAGCUCUGUCGGAGGGAGGAAGGCGAUAAGGUUAAUAACCUUGUCGAUUGACGUUACCCGCAGAAGAAGCACCGGCUAACUCCGUGCCAGCAGCCGCAGUAAUAC